UAUUACCACAGCUAAAUGAACAACUUGUUCACUCGACCCCAUUCCAACUAAAUUACUGAAAGAAGUGUUACAUAAAGCUGGUGAGCUUCUUCUUAAUAUUAUUAACUCCUCAUUAUCUUUAGGUUACGUACCUAAGUCUUUCAAGUUGGCAGUCAGUAGGCCACUCAUCAAAAAUCCUAACUUAGAUCCAAAUGAACUAUCAAAUUACAGACCCACUUCGCAAGCAGACAGACAGAACGCCCUCGGACUUAGUGCGAGCCCGAACGGAAGGACCGUGAAUUCGUAACACACGCCUUGGUAGGCGAAACGAAGGAAUUUCAUGUGUGGAGGAUAGAUGCUUAUGUGGAAAAAACCAUCGCUCAGAUCAAUCAAUCAAAUCGUUCUGCUUUAUCGAACGUAUGAGAGAGCUGUGUGUUAACAUUCUGAAGUUGUAUUUCCGUAAAUGUUUGUUCAACACUCUCAGAUCCAGAAUAGGACGGAGAGAACCGUCCUUUUUGGGACCAUGAAAUAGCGAGAGUAAAACCCCUGAUCACUUAGAUGCGAGGAUACAACUCGAAUCGCCCUCUUCUCAAGAAGAGAUGAGAUCUUGUCUUUCAGAAUGUUGGCGGAGCUCUGGUCCGUAUGGGACCAGAUCACUCUGUGGAAUCGUUGGGGUGAUUGAACUCUGUAACCCCUCGUUACUGGCCGCCCAUGAACGCAGACCGAAGACCCCCUGAGGCCGAACAUCAGGUCAGCCGCUUUCGUUUUGGAACAGUAGGAGUGGGGAUGGGAGGCUGCAUCAGCACAACGGCCGGGCCGAAAAGAGCCUGACCCAGUUCAACCGGCGCCCCAGCGAUGCGACACAUCUCACUAUCAGGGAGACCGGAUAGAUUGAGCCACAGCGCGUGUUCUCUGACCACCGGCAAAGCCAUAGAGCACCCGCUUGCCUGGACAGCCUGACGGGCAUUGCGGAGAAAGAGGUCAAUUACCGUGACGAUCUCCUUCCAGAGAUCAGGCGAUGACGACCCACUCUCCAGUUGUUGGCCCAAAUCAAGCAGGAGUUCAGCCUGAGAACAGUUCAGCCUGACAACAGCGAGGAGACAUUGAGAGCUCGAAUAGAAGGAGCUGAGGCUUUAUAUGACGUCUGAUGAAUCGACACCCAGAAACGAUCCAUCUUGCCCAGGAGGACGGGCUUGGCUGGGGUGAGCAUGGGAUGAGAUGGGUUAAGCCCUGAGAUGGGGUAAGGUGUCUGGCGAUGGAAGUCUCACCUCAAGCCCCGCGAGCUUACCGUCAUACACAUAUAUUUAUAUAUAUAUAUUUAUAUUUACAGCAUUUAGCAGACGCCCUUAUCCAGAGCGACUUACAUUUUUAUCUCAUUUUUACACAUUUUUACACAUCCCUCUCCUGAUCCGAAGCGUUCAGGAGAGCUGGCUAUGCAACAUUGAGCCGCCCGGCAGCGCUUUCACAAAGCUCCAACAGUACCGAUUAAGGUGGGGCGGGAAGAUCCUUAGGGGCUGCGGGAGACGGGAUGACUUCCUCGUCAUCUGAGCCAUCGAGAAGGCCCGCCUCGACCUCAUCCCCGGAACCUGGCGGUCCUUCGGGGUUGGCCGGUAGUAGAUAUUCAAACGGGGCGGCCGGUAGUAAAUUCUCAAACGGGGAAGGAUACUCGGCCCAGUCAGAGGAAGUCAUGCCACGGGAGGCCCCCGGGAGCACAGCGGCGUCGCCUUUUUCCCCCUCCGAGUCAGACAACUCGAAAUCGACACACUGGGAAGUGGCCGUUUUGAGCCUGGGACGCAGGAACUUUUUCGGGAGCACCAGGCAAUGGCUACAUUCUCCGGGAGGUCAAUAGGUUCUUGUGCAUGCUUGAGACCCGUGCAGACAACACAAAAGGGAUGGGAAUCCCUUGCAGCGAUGAGCGAGCUGCAUGCGGCCCGGCAGGCUCGCAAUAGGAUGUCCACUGGAGUAGCCGGAGCUGCUUUAGAAAGCGCCAUAGAAAAGGAAAAAAGCAGGCGGUCAGCCUACAGAAAAAAAGGGGGGUGCGAGCGUGGGCGGCUUGCGAAGCUAACCUGCCUGAGGACGAGCACGUCCGGCGGAGGCUGAUCGAACAAUAUGUCCUCCUGAAGACAAAAAGUGCGUCGUGAGAAUCGAAUGUUAACUGAGGAAAGGUAACGCGUGCAGGUGCAUUAUGCACUCGGGUAAGGGGCGUUACCUUACCUGCCUUUGGCACGUGCUCCUGUCUGUCAAGCCAGACUUGGUGCAAUUGAAUGCUUCUGUAGUGGUCAGGAACGGAUGCCCUUCCCACAGGUGGAUCUCGAACACGAGAUGAUGAAAGAGAACACACUUUUCCUCCGGUAAAGACGUUGCUAGAAAGCAAACAAGGACUGGUAUGAGAAAUAUCCUCUAAAGGACAGAAAUUAAAAGAAUUAUCUCAUACCAUAUAUUGAAAUAUUGUGUGUCCAUUAGGUUAAAAGCUGUGUGAGAGAAAGUUAAGCCGCAUGGCAGAGAGCUUCUCAAGAUACUUCCGAUUGGUUUUUAGAAAGGAUUGACCAUCUGAAUCUGACCCUAGCGGUCAGUGGUGAUCCAACCGCAGAAGUGAAUGGAUCAAGAGCCCGGUGUGGCCAGCCGUGGCAUCUUUGGAACCAGCAUCAUCCUGUGCCUUCAUUUUGCUAAACAAGUCAACGUGCCAACUGCGUCAUAGAGUAGAGCUGGAUUUCUGAUUCAGAUAUUUCCUGAUUACAAGGUGAAAAACCAGGAAGCUGCUUUCAUAAAUGGAUGAUUAGUUUUGAGGGGCAAAUAAUCUGUCAGUUUCCUGUCUGGACUUGCUGCUGUGUUUUCGACUUUCUACAUUUUCAAUGUGGAGUACCAAGCUGAGGCUGCAUUCACGUUGGAAUUUAUUCAGAGGUGCUUCAUUGGCAUAAAUCCUGAAAAAGGCACCAAGGGUGGACAAGUCCUAUCAAAGCAGACAGGGAAGUUCGCUCACAAAAAGAAAUCAUGCAACACUCGGGUUGCCAGUCUCCUUAAGAAGCUAAUGGACUUUGAAUGGGACUAAAUGGGAACCCACUCAUUCACUAACAUACCACACACCUUUCACAUACACUUCACACACAACGAAAACAUGCUUUUAGUGUGAAAGCCACACAAUUUUUUCAGGUCUUCAUUCUUGUAUACCUAAAUUUUGACUUCAUUCUUCAUUGAAUUCUUUCUUCA